CACUAAGAAAUGCUGGGUUGUUUUGUCAACCCAAGUGCUGAAUAACAGCUGUUGGGUAAACGUGUUGGGUUAUUCUAAUGCAGUGUUGGGUUACCCUGACUCAAUAUUGGUACAGUGGGGAACAUCUAUGCUACUCUACUGAUUGGGUUAUUAGUUAGGUUACACAAUAACCCAACUCACUGGUUUAUUGUACCCAACACUGUGUUGCCCUGCUACGUUUGAAAUCAGAGUUCCCUGCAGAUAACGUUCUUUCUGCCUGCCCGCCCUGGAAGAAGUGAACUGACCGGAGUCUUCAACAAAAAUGAAGCUAUGAAAAAAGGAAGGAGACGUCCAGGACUGAACAGAGCUGUCACCUGUCACAGUGCAGUGCACCGACUGACUGACGCUAUUUGCUUGGAUGUUGCUGAAAGAAAGGAGGCAUUCUUCAUUGUGCACUAGCCUACUGUGGGUAAGUCACUGUUUUGUCCGUGUUGCAAUAGUUUGGCUACCACUAGUGCAUCCUUAUACACUUAAGCCCUGACCAAAUUGAGUUUCAUUGCUAGUGAUUUGACCUCAUUCAAUUGGAUCCUCAUAUCAGAAGCAUUUUUGUUUUCUGAUAUUUGUUUUUAAUAGCCAACACUUUCUUUACUAGCUAACACUUUCUUAUUUAGCCAUUUAUUUCACAGAUGGUCUGACCUGUGUCUUGCAAUGUCAUCAUCAUUUUAUAAUUUUGUAACUAAAUGUUGCAUGUGUGUU